rnacentral:rRNA from 1 species
AACGAACGCUGGCGGCAGGCUUAACACAUGCAAGUCGAACGGGCACCUUCGGGUGUCAGUGGCAGACGGGUGAGUAACGCGUGGGAACGUACCCUUCGGUUCGGAAUAACCCAGGGAAACUUGGGCUAAUACCGGAUACGUCCGUAAGGAGAAAGAUUUAUUGCCGAAGGAUCGGCCCGCGUCGGAUUAGCUAGUUGGUGGGGUAAUGGCUCACCAAGGCGACGAUCAGUAGCUGGUCUGAGAGGAUGAUCAGCCACAUUGGGACUGAGACACGGCCCAAACUCCUACGGGAGGCAGCAGUGGGGAAUAUUGGACAAUGGGCGAAAGCCUGAUCCAGCCAUGCCGCGUGAGUGAUGAAGGCCUUAGGGUUGUAAAGCUCUUUUGCCCGGGAAGAUAAUGACGGUACCGGGAGAAUAAGCCCCGGCUAACUUCGUGCCAGCCGCCGC